rnacentral:rRNA from 1 species
GACGAACGCUGGCGGCGUGCUUAACACAUGCAAGUCGAACGGAAAGGCCCUGCUUUUGUGGGGUGCUCGAGUGGCGAACGGGUGAGUAACACGUGAGUAACCUGCCCUUGACUUUGGGAUAACUUCAGGAAACUGGGGCUAAUACCGGAUAGGAGCUCCUGCUGCAUGGUGGGGGUUGGAAAGUUUCGGCGGUUGGGGAUGGACUCGCGGCUUAUCAGCUUGUUGGUGGGGUAGUGGCUUACCAAGGCUUUGACGGGUAGCCGGCCUGAGAGGGUGACCGGCCACAUUGGGACUGAGAUACGGCCCAGACUCCUACGGGAGGCAGCAGUGGGGAAUAUUGCACAAUGGGCGGAAGCCUGAUGCAGCAACGCCGCGUGCGGGAUGACGGCCUUCGGGUUGUAAACCGCUUUCGCCUGUGACGAAGCGUGAGUGACGGUAAUGGGUAAAGAAGCACCGGCUAACUACGUGCCAGCAGCCGCGGUGAUACGUAGGGUGCGAGCGUUGUCCGGAUUUAUUGGGCGUAAAGGGCUCGUAGGUGGUUGAUCGCGUCGGAAGUGUAAUCUUGGGGCUUAACCCUGAGCGUGCUUUCGAUACGGGUUGACUUGAGGAAGGUAGGGGAGAAUGGAAUUCCUGGUGGAGCGGUGGAAUGCGCAGAUAUCAGGAGGAACACCAGUGGCGAAGGCGGUUCUCUGGGCCUUUCCUGACGCUGAGGAGCGAAAGCGUGGGGAGCGAACAGGCUUAGAUACCCUGGUAGUCCACGCUGUAAACGGUGGGUACUAGGUGUGGGGUCCAUUCCACGGGUUCCGUGCCGUAGCUAACGCUUUAAGUACCCCGCCUGGGGAGUACGGCCGCAAGGCUAAAACUCAAAGGAAUUGACGGGGCCCCGCACAAGCGGCGGAGCAUGCGGAUUAAUUCGAUGCAACGCGUAGAACCUUACCUGGGUUUGACAUGGAUCGGGAGUGCUCAGAGAUGGGUGUGCCUCUUUUGGGGUCGGUUCACAGGUGGUGCAUGGCUGUCGUCAGCUCGUGUCGUGAGAUGUUGGGUUAAGUCCCGCAACGAGCGCAACCCUUGUUCACUGUUGCCAGCACGUUAUGGUGGGGACUCAGUGGAGACCGCCGGGGUCAACUCGGAGGAAGGUGGGGAUGACGUCAAGUCAUCAUGCCCCUUAUGUCCAGGGCUUCACGCAUGCUACAAUGGCUGGUACAGAGAGUGGCGAGCCUGUGAGGGUGAGCGAAUCUCGGAAAGCCGGUCUCAGUUCGGAUUGGGGUCUGCAACUCGACCUCAUGAAGUCGGAGUCGCUAGUAAUCGCAGAUCAGCAACGCUGCGGUGAAUAAGGGCCCGGGGCU